GACGAACGCUGGCGGCGUGCUUAACACAUGCAAGUCGAACGGUAAGGCCCUUUCGGGGGUACACGAGUGGCGAACGGGUGAGUAACACGUGGGUGAUCUGCCCUGCACUUUGGGAUAAGCCUGGGAAACUGGGUCUAAUACCGGAUAGGACUACGCGAUGCAUGUCGUGUGGUGGAAAGCUUUUGCGGGGUGGGAUGGGCCCGCGGCCUAUCAGCUUGUUGGUGGGGUGAUGGCCUACCAAGGCGACGACGGGUAGCCGGCCUGAGAGGGUGUCCGGCCACCAUGGGACUGAGAUACGGCCCAGACUCCUACGGGAGGCAGCAGUGGGGAAUAUUGCACAAUGGGCGCAAGCCUGAUGCAGCGACGCCGCGUGGGGGAUGACGGCCUUCGGGUUGUAAACCCCUUUCAGCACAGACGAAGCGUAAGUGACGGUAUGUGCAGAAGAAGCACCGGCCAACUACGUG
rnacentral:rRNA from 1 species